CUCUAAAGAGUUAGUGAUGGCAUUUUCAUCAUCUGUAACCCUCGUGCUGAAAACAACUCCAUCAUCAUCCAGACGCUAAUAAAAAAACCCAAAAGAAUAUGUCACAUGCCAUGCCAUGAGUUACUAGACCAAAGACUGCAAAAGUAGGAGAAUUUUUGUGCAAUAGAAAUACCUUGCAUAUAACCUCACCCUGGAAGCCACCAACUACCAAUAAAUUACUAUCCACAGCCAUCGUUGUGACCUGAACCAUUGCAACUGACUGUGAACCAUGCCCUCUCUGUGCCGAAAAAAAGGGUACCUUAGAACAAACCAAAUAAGGAUAUGAACCUACUCAGAAAUAUUAUAGUUCAGACCAUGUUCAAAGUUAAACCUGUUUUGGAACAAUGCAAUCAUCGGCAUUGAUCAGCUCAGUGCUUAACUGGUCCAGUGAGGACCAGUGUGUCACUGAUUGGUCAUGCAUUGUAUAAACAUCAUGCUUGGUUGUUGCCCAUACCAGGUUCCUCAGCU